UACGGGGGGGGGUAAGCGUUGUUCGGAAUUACUGGGCGUAAAGGGCUCGUAGGCGGCCAACUAAGUCAUACGUGAAAUCCCUCAGCUUAACUGGGGAACUGCGUGUGAUACUGGAUGGCUUGGAUUUGGGAGAGGGAUGCGGAAUUCCAGGUGUAGCGGUGAAAUGCGUAGAUAUCUGGAGGAACACCGGUGGCGAAGGCGGGUCUCUGGACAGUUCCUGACGCUGAGGCACGAAGGUCAGGGGAGCAAACGGG
rnacentral:rRNA from 1 species